UUGUGUGGCUGAGUAAGGGUUAAUAAUUUUCAUGACUAAUGAUUUGAAUAAAGUAGAGAAUAAAGCAUGGAAAAACUGAAAACCGUGCCUAAAACCCUCCAUCAUUUCCAGUAAGGCACGAACCAACACAAAGGCAUUGCCAACUAAAGACUAUAUACAUAUACAUUUCAUUGACUACACCGUUCUUUUUUUUUUGUACCCCUCUUUUGCCAUCUAAAAUCACUCGCAAUCUCACUCCUCACUCUAUCGACCUUAUCUCGUUCUCUCUCUCAACUCUCGAUCCACCUCCUCCCUCCUCUCUCUCAAUCUCACUCAGAUCCUCUUCUCUCUCAGAUCUCUCUGCCUCUCUGGGCUUUAAUCAAAGUUUAGGUCAUCAGGGGAUUCUAUUGUCCAUGUAGUGGUUGAUGCCAAGUAACUCAUCCGUAUAUUACAUAAUGGCUCUGUGGAUGUGCUUAAAAUAGGAUGCGUUGGAGAAACUUGAGUAGAGGGAGCGGGAUGCAGGCCGGAAGAUGAUGAAUGAACAACCAUGAAGGAGCAAGAAAUGCUGCAGAGUUUUUCUUGUAGGUGGUAGUGUAACAAGUUUGUGUGCAAAUAAGGGUUUUUAACUUGACUCUUGCAAGCAUAAUAUUGCCCUCGCCGACUGCCAUGAGUGGAUUCUUCUGUCCUGGGGGUCCAAUCAAACCCACAACUUUCGAUCUUAUUGUCAUUGGAACAGGCAUCCCUGGAUCAGUAAUUGCCGCCGCAGCUUCUGCUGUUGGAAAAACUGUCCUCCACCUUGACCCCAACCCAUUUUAUGGCAGCCACUUCGCCUCUCUCCCCCCAAAUGACCUCACCUCCUUCCUCAAUUCCCAUUCUACAGAUCACAUCACCACUGCCACCAUUAACACCACCUCUAUUGAUUCUAGUCUCGACCAUGAUUACAUUGCUAUAGACCUGAAACCCCGGUUGUUAUACUCUAAUAUUGAGACUGCCGCCUAUGCCCCUGAAAUCCUUGCAAAACAUUGCCCGAGAGAAUUCACUAUCGACCUUGGAGGUCCUAGGUUGCUAUUCCCUGCUGACAAAGCCACUGACCUUUUGAUGAAAUCCGGACUAAAUUUAUAUGUUGAAUGUGGGUUCUUGGAAUUCAAGAACAUCAGUGAAAUUUUCGUUUGUGAUGAGAGUGGGCAGUUAAGGAAUAUUCCACACUCGCGAAUAGAAAUGUUUAAAGACAGGAGCCUAAGCCUUAAAGAGAAGAGUAUGUUAGCAAGGUUCUUCAAGUUCCUUGAGCAGUACUUGGAAGCCUCUCGUGGUAUUGGCGGAGACCAAGAAGGGAGCCACAAUAGUGAAAGUUCCAAGAUUUCAGAGGAGGACUUGGAGAGUCCCUUUAUUGACUUCAUAAAUAGAAUGCAGUUGCCACCCAAAAUAAAAUUGAUUAUUCACUGCAUUGCCAUGGUAGAUUGUGGUCAAGACGACUUGGAAGUUUGUAAAAGUAAACUUAAGACAAGAGAUGGGUUAGAGCGUUUAGCCCUCUACCACAGUUCAAGGUCGUCAAAUGCCCAUGGAGCUUGGAUUUAUCCUGAACAUGGUCAUGGGGAUUUAUCAGCUGCCUUUGCCCGCCGAGCCGCUGUUAAAGGUUGCAUUACUGCUUUGCAUACGCCAGUUAAUGCUGUGCUUAUGGAUAAGGAUAGUGGACAAUAUAAGGGUGUUAGAUUAGCAUCAGGUCAAGCUUUGUUUAGCCAUCACCUUGUUUUGGAUCCAACCUUCACCGUUACAUUGGCACCAACUUCAUCUCCACCAAACCUUCUAAGAGAAGGUCUUCAAGUUUUGAGUCUGAAAGAUGAUAAAGGAAAGGUGGCUAGGGGAAUAUGUAUUACAGCCAGUUCCUUGAAGCCAGAUGUAUCAAAUUGUGUGCUUGUAUGUCCUCCCAGAUCUUUGUGCCCUGAACAGGAUACCUCAAUCUGGAUUAUCCAGAUAUGUGGCAGUUUGGAAACGGGUGUUUGUCCAAAGGGCAUAAUAUGCUUAGAUAUAGGGAUCCUCCAAUGCUGUAGCGGUGAUAUCUUUGUGAACAGGUGUCAAGUUUUUAUAGCUCAAGUUGGUUGAAAAUGAAUGAAUGUGCAAAGCCUUUGGUCAUGAGAUGGAACAGCUAAGUAGAUGGUCUUUAUUCCUAGAAAUAAGUGAACUUAGGCAGAAACUAUUUAUUGAUGGUUUUGGACCCUUAUACACUCAGUUAUUACUGAUACAAUCUUUCAGGAUUGUUUACAUAAACAGACUUUGACUUCUAUACACCAGAUCAUGACCGUUGUCUAUUUUGAUACUUUCAUAUAUAUUAGAUACACUUAUAACAAAAUUUUAAGCUGCCCACACUUCUUUACAUUACCUUCUCGUCUUUAGGUUUCUGCUGUACUUUUCUGCUCUAUGUGAUGAUGCUGAGCAAGGAAAAAGGUUGCUACAAGCAGUCAAGAAUGCUCUUCUCACACUUCCUAUGUCUGGAAAUCCUGAAAGAGCUUCCACAGUUCAAAGUGAAAAAGCAGAAGCAAAACCCACCUUACUUUGGAGCACGUUGUAUAUUCAGGAGCUGACUAUAGAUCAACACGAAUAUCUUAUUUCAACUCCCAUGCCAGAUGGAAAUCUGUGGUACAAUGAUCUGUUAGAUGCAACUGUGCUGCUUUUCCAGAAGUUGUAUCCAAAUGAAGAAUUCUUUCCCGAGACACCUGGGAAUUUGGAGGAUGACAUUCUGAUUAAUCUAGAGGACUAAUAGUGGUAUGCUGGACUCAAGUGUGUCUGUACUGUGCAUCCCAACAUGUUACUGAAAUUAUUAACACAUGUGGCCUUGGUCAUUGCUGAAGAGGAUAGGCACAAGUGAUGCUUGUAUGUGUUCCAUUGUUCACCACUUAUUGUGAUAGAGGAUGAGGCUGGUACUAAAUUUCUUCAAAACAAGUUUCCAAACUAAAGUCUUUAUCAUGAGUAAUGAUUAGAAAACCUUAAACUCUCUGGUUAGCUACUAUACUUUCUUGCUAUGCACAAAUCAGGAAUAGGAGCAGAAGCCAGACAUUUGUGCUCGUAGUUUAAGAGACCAGAUCCUCUUACUUUAAACUCUGAGUGAGCUGGGCUUGAUUUUGUACUUUGUUUUUUCUCACUGUCUUGCUGGAUUCAAUUUUCUAGAUUAUUUGUAUGCAAGAACCUCCACUUGGGGUGUGUUCUUACUGUUAAUCUUUUGUUCUUGCCCUGUUGUAAUGAAUUUCUGCUUGUUCGGAAAAAAGAAGAAGAAAAGAAUGAGGGGAUCUGUGUUCGUUCUUUUGCAGACGCACGGUUCAAGUUAUUAAAGAAAAUGGCAAUUGAUGCAUGUAUUUCUUUCAGAGUUGGUCCCCUGGUCUUUGUCAGUAGCCUUGCUAGCUACGAAGACAAAAACCACAAAUGGCUGAGAAAAAGAAAAAUGUUCCGCGAGUAUGCUGACCAAGGAAAGACAAUUUUGGGUUGUUCAAACAUUUAGCCACAAGGGCCCACAAAAGAUUAGAUUUUUUUGUCUUGUAACAAAAACCUAUCCAUUUCUUUUAUUCAACUAUGAUGUGGAGCCAUCAAUUUAUAGGCUAAAGUAAAUACUGAAUUUACAACAUAUUGUAUGGUUACAAGCAUUAAAUACUAAAUUUACAAUAUAUUGUGAAGGUUACACC